rnacentral:piRNA from 1 species
UACUGAUGGCUCUACACUGGCCAAUGGGC